ACCACAAAGAUGAUGGCUGCACUCAUCGGACUUCUUAAAAUUCAAAAUACUUUAUUGUAAAUCCAUUAAAAUGAUCUGAUCAUUUUAAUGGAUUUACAAUAAAGUAUUUUGAAUUUUAAGAAGUUCGAGGAGUGCAGCCAUCAUCUUUGUGGU